GGUACGGAUGUGUUUGGACAGGUGAUCACUGCGCAUAAAACGCUUCGGACACUCAGGACACGAAAACUUCUUUUCCCCUACACACAGACACAGAGAAAUUCACUUACAAGGGGUGGAGGAUUACACCUGACAUAAAGUGUGUGUGCGCCGGUGUCUCUGCAGCUCGUCGGAGCGGGUGAAUCGUUUCCCACAGUGAGCCCAGUUGCAGACAAACGGCCGCUCGCCCGAGUGCCAGCGCAGGUGUGCCCGCAGGUGAGACGUCUUCCCAUAAACCUUCCCACAGCCUGUGAUGUGGCAGAUGUGCUGCUUCUUCUUACUGGGACACCCGGUGGUGCUUCUGCUCACACAACUGAGCCAGGUGUGCCCUGACAGAGGUGAAACCCUGAGGACAGCUUCGAGAUAGCCAUCACUAAGCCAAGACCUGUAUGUGCAUUUAUUGAAGUUCAUAGUUAGGAAAAAUUUCUCACACAGAUACGUGCUUCCAAAAAGGCACAUUACCCCACUGAACACUUUGGACAGCUCUGGGAAGCAUGAAGGUAAUUCUCUCCGAAACUGUCCAGUCUUGUCUGCUUUUCCCUGAGCCUCUCGGAAUUUAGUUUUUAGCUCAAUGUUGCACUGCAAGUCAAUAAGCUCCAUUUGCAACAAACCUGGGACACUGUCCACACCAGCUAAGAAGGGAUCUGAGAACAGCUGGAAAGUGUCAUGGUGUGCCUCGAAGUCAGCAAAACACUGAUCAAAUUCCUGCAGUAGGUUUUCAAUAGCAGAGGCAUGUUCAUCACCACUGAAUGCACUGUCCUCCUGCACCAGAGAUCUGCAUGCUAUGAAAUGACUGAGGUUUCUUGCAGAAAGCAGUUUUCCACAAUCUCAGUUUUGUGGAGAAGGCUUUCACACGCUGACCAGGGCCCUGGAGCUUCAGGUGAAGGAUGUUCAACUCUUGCGUUAUGUCCACAAAGAACGCAAGAUCCAUGACCCAUUUAGGAUAAUCAAAUUCAGGAAUGUCCAUUCUGCCAUCUUCCAUGAAUCGCUUCACUGCUCUUAACUCAAAAAAUCUCUUCAAGACCUUCCCCCUGCUAAGCCAGUGCACCUGAGUAAACUACACCACCAUACAGUAGCUCAAUUUCUUCUAAAAAGGCCUGAAACUGGCGGUGCUGUAAGCUCCGGUCCUGAUCUAAUCAAUACAACAGACAUGUUCAUAUUUCACGUUUUUGCUGCAGAGCAUCUGUAUAACGCGAUGUAUAACACGGUGCAGAACAACUGCUGGAUCUGAAUUUUCCUCUUCUAACUUUCCUUGUACUAGCGCUACCACUCCGCUUUUUCAUAGUGGUGUACUGCAUAACUCUGUGUGUGAGUGUGUGUGUUACCGUCCAUCUCCAUCCUUGCAGUAUGGACAUGUGCACGCUUCUCUGCGUGAGCGGCGACUCGGAGGAGUCGUGUCUAAACUCUGAUCCAACAUCGAGUCGUCCAUGACGUCUCCUGCAGCUCCCUGAUCACCUGCGCACACGCACACACAUACACUUUAUACAACACAGCAGAAGCUGCAUGUGCAAUUCAAUGCACAUAUAUAAAUCAACUGGGCAAAACUAGUGUGAAUAAAGGACCAAGAAUGGUGCACGCAAGUUACAGGUGAGAAUGGCGUGUGUGCGCGAGUUACAGGUGAGAAUGGCGAGCGCAAGUUACAAGUGAGAAUGAGAGUCCACGUUAUGAAUCCUGGAUCAAUUAAAUUAGCCCCUCCCCCUGCUCACGGUGACCUCAGAACCUGACUUAACCAAACCAAUGACAUUUAUGGAGGCUUCACUGGUAUAUUAGAAGUAUGGAGCAGUUUCAGCUAGCACUGAAAGAUGGUGGUGGUGAUGGUGGUGAUGAUGCUGACCUGCUGU